GAAGGCAGCAGGCGCGCAAAUUACCCAUUCCCGACGCGGGGAGGUAGUGACGAAAAAUAACAAUGCAGGACUCGUUCGAGGCCCUGUAAUUGGAAUGAGUACACUUUAAAAGCUUUAACGAGUAUCCAUUGGAGGGCAAGUCUGGUGCCAGCAGCCGCGGUAAUUCCAGCUCCAAAAGUAUAUAUUUAAGUUGUUGCGGUUAAAAAGCUCGUAGUUGGAUUUUGGGCGCAGGCGGCCGGUCCGUCGCAAGGCGUGUACUGGACGUCCUGGCCUUCCCUCCGGUUCUCCGCCGGUGCUCUUGACUGAGUGUCGGCGGCGGCCGGAACGUUUACUUUGAAAAAAUUAGAGUGUUCAAAGCAGGCUCUCGAGCCUGGAUAAUGGUGCAUGGAAUAAUGGAAUAGGACCUCGGUUCUAUUUUGUUGGUUUUCGGAGCGCGAGGUAAUGAUUAAGAGGGACAGACGGGGGCAUUCGUACUGUGCCGUUAGAGGUGAAAUUCUUGGAUCGGCGCAAGACGAACGACUGCGAAAGCAUUUGCCAAGAAUGUUUUCUUUAAUCAAGAGCGAAAGUCAGAGGUUCGAAGACGAUCAGAUACCGUCCUAGUUCUGACUAUAAACGAUGCCAACUAGCGAUCGGGGGGCGUUACAUUGACGACCCCUCCGGCAGCUUACGGGAAACCAAAUCUUUGGGUUCCGGGGGAAAUAUGGUUGCAAAGCUGAAACUUUAAGGGAAUUGACGGAA
rnacentral:ncRNA from 1 species